AUUAAAAAUCUCUUUCGCAGUUUGUUCACUUCAUUCUUUUUUUCCUCUUCUUCUUCCUCAUACCAUUGCCUUCUUCUCCUCCUUCGCAGAACAUGAUGAAGAAUUGAAAAUCCAAAUAGACCUUCCCCUUACUUCUUCUGUUUUUCUUUUGGAUCUAGAUCUAGUAUCCCCGUAAGUAUAUGUUGGACUUGUGUGAGAAAAGAAAGGAAGUGGAUGUUACAGUUUGAGUUAAUAUUGUCAAUCGAUUGAUUAAAAUUAUUCUUCACCGAAAACUGCUAACGAAGCAAGCUGAACUCAUGGAGAUUCAAGGUUUUUCUUUCUCUAAGUGGCAUCACAGAUGGGUUUGCUUCUAUUAUAGAAGCGGGGUUUUGGUUUGAAGUACUGUUUAGAAGGAUGGUGAAAUUCUAUAGGCAUGCUUCUGUUGAAUUAUUUUGUUGCAAUGAAAUUUGUGUUCUACUGUAAUUUGUUAAAUAAAGAGUUCAAUUUGGACUUUAAA